ACGGUAUCGAGAAGGAAUCUUACCUCUUUCAAUGCAUAACGGACGGAUGGAGUGAUUUAAGUUCUGGAAAGACGACCUGAUGGAGGGGGGAUAUAUGCGGGAGACACAUAGCCACAUAACCGCAGUGAAUAUCGCAAGACCAAAGGGGGGUACCCUCGGGGCCUGUUACCAUCUUAUGGGCCCAGUUGGGAUUGGCUAUUACUUGGGUUAGAGGCUCACCUAGACGACGAUAAGUAUCUGCUAUCAGAGGAUCCCAGCCACUCUGGAACUGAGACCAGGUCCAGACUCAUACGGGAGGCAUCAAGGGGAAUAUUGCACAAUGGGAGCAGGAAUUGAGCAGCCAUGCCACGUCUUGAAGAGGCCUUCGGGUUGUAAAGUACUUUCAGCGGGGAGGAAGGGAGUAAAGUUAAUACCUUUGCUCAUUGACGUUAACAACAGAAGAAGCACCGGCAACUCCCAGCAGCAGCCGCGGUAAUACGGAGCAACAAGCUUAAUCGGAAUUAGUGGGAAAGAAGCGCGCGCAGGCGGUUUUUAAGUCAGAUAAAAAUCCCCGGGCUCAACCUGGGAACUGCAUCUGUUACUGGCAAGCUUGAGUUUAGUAGAGGGGGGUAGAAUUCCAGGUAGGCGGUGAAAUGGGUAGUGAUCUGGAGGAAUACCGUUGGCGAAGCCGGCCCCCUGGACGAAGACUGACGCUCAGGUGAGAAAGCGGGGGGAGCAAACAGGAUUAGAUCCCCUGGUAGUACACGCCGUAAACGAAGUCGACUCGAGGUUGGCCCGUCCCCCCCGGUUCCGAAGCUAACGAGUU
rnacentral:rRNA from 1 species